UCAAAAUAUCCUAUUAUUUAUUUGUUAAAACGUCAAAACGUGGCAUACUAAAAUACUUGAAAGGGAAAGAUAAUUAUGUGAUUAAUAACGAGUAUAUUUGUUUGUGAUUAUGUAUUUGAUUGUGAUCUUCCUUUUUCCUUUUUUAUUUUUCCGGCUUUGAUUAAAUUUGAUUGAUCGUCCAUUGAUCGCUUUUCCUUUAAUUUGAUUUUAUUUUACAAUUAUGUUAAUAUAGCUUGUAAGUAAUAUGAGCAUUUUGGACUAUUCUAUAGAGGAUACCAAAAGCUCAUUUACGAUAAUGCUUUCAGGAGUUUCCUUAAGUAGAAACUAGUAUUUUAUGCACGCGAUGCGUGCGGAAUUUUAAAAAUAUUAGGCACUAAUAAUUAUUCGCAAAGUCCAUAUUUUGCGAUAUUGAGGUCAUACAAUACUCGUAGCCUUACAUGACGAAAAAUCGAAUCUUAUGACCAAUUAAAGUUAUUAAAAAAACUUAACAUUAUUUUGUUACAGCUAACAUAUCCCGUCGAGAAAUCAAAAUAGAAGUACUGAAGUAAAGUUAUUAAACAUAUGAAAUAGUAAGUAUCACUUUCUUAUCAAGUUAAAAAGAUAUAUAUUUCUAUUAUAUAUUCUCAUAUGAUACGAUGUGGAAGAAUCGAGUACAUUAAAAUACUUUGUAGUCUGUACUACAUAAUACGCCAAUUAUAAAAUUAGUUAAAUCUAUAUUAUUAUACACCAAAAAUACUUAUAGACGUUAUAAUCAGAUAAUAAAGAGAAUAUAAUUUAUUAAUUAAUUUAUCAAGUGAGGUCGAAAAGUUGAGAAUAGUAUUGCUAUUAAAAUCUGAAAAUAAUACAUGUGUAUCAUUUUUCGUUCUCAAAGCCCAAAUAAUCAGUCGGCCCAUUUCGUUUCAAAGCACAGCUCCUCCUAUCUCUCUAUAAAAGUAACAGGUUAUUCCUUACCCUAUUUCUUUUUGUUGAAUUCGCCGUUGUAUUCUCUCUCUUAAACAUAUUUGGGUUUCUUUCUCAUCUCUCCUUUCUCUCUCCUAAUUCGUUGCAUAAAAUCCUUCGUUUCUCUUCUCAAAAAAUGGUUUCAACUAUUUGAAUAUCUUAGCAAAAAAGGGCGAAAACCUUCAGAAAAAUGAACAUCAGGAAGAUCUUUCGCAGGUAUAUUCCCUUCUCUUCGUCUUAAAUUAGCCUUAUUUGCACUUGAUUAAGAAUUUUAGGGAUUUAUCAAUUCAUGUUUUACGGUUUAUAAUCGGAAUUGAAUUUAGUUAAUGCAGAAUAUUUGUUGCAUAAUUUUAGUUGUAAUUCGUUGUCUUAGUUAUUUGUCAACUAAUUUAUUUGCACUUUUGAUUUGCAUGUUGUGUCCCUCCAUGGGUUGGAGAGAGAGGUCCAAGAGCGGUGGUGAGGCGCGCGAGGGGCUGUUCGAGGGGCGCGAGGCGCUGGCCUAAGCUCUAUCCGAGGCGAUUUGCGAGGCGAUAGAAAAUUUUGUAAAGGCAUCUGAAAGCUUGGAGCUUGUAAGAUUCCAUAAAGGCGGUGAUUUGGACCCACCUAACAAUUUAACUUUGUCAAUGAUUUCAUCAAUCUCCUCGGAUCCUUUCUUAACCAUACGGCUUAUGAUAUCACUACUACAAUGCACAUGAAACAAUUGACCAGUCAUUGGGAGCUUCGACCGUUCUUGAACAAUUUCCUUCUGGUAAUUGAUAAAAGUAGGGUUUCAAAAUAUGUAAUUUAUACCCUUAUAUUUGGUGAUUACUGGGUUGAUGUUGAAUUUUUUUCUGGUAUUAAUUUCCGUGUUCAAUUUCUAA